CCCUUAGAUGUUCUGGGCCGCACGCGCGCUACACUGACGAAGUCAGCGAGCAUGUCCUACGCCGACAGGUGCGGGGAAUCUUGUCAAACUUCGUCGUGAUGGGGAUUGAUUUUUGAAAUUCUUGAUCAUAACCGAGGAAUUCCUAGUAAGCGCAAGUCAGCAGCUUGCGUUGAUUACGUCCCUGCCCUUUGUACACACCGCCCGUCGCUACUACCGAUUGAAUGGUUUAGUGAGAUCUUCGGAUUGGCGCCACUGCAGCUCAGCAAUGGGCUUGGUGGAUGCCGAAAAGUUGAUCAAACUUGAUCAUUUAGAGGAAGUAAAAGUCGUAACA
rnacentral:rRNA from 1 species